rnacentral:rRNA from 1 species
UACAGAGACUACGAGCGUUACUCGGAUUCACUGGGCGUAAAGGGAGUGUAGGCGAGCAUGUAUGUCGGGUGUGAAAGCUCCGGGCUCAACUCGGAAAUGGCGCUCGAAACUAUGUGUCUAGAGGCUUGGAGAGGUUAGCGGAAUUCCAGGUGUAGCGGUGAAAUGCGUAGAUAUCUGGAGGAACACCGAAGGCGAAGGCAGCUAACUGGACAAGAGCUGACGCUGAGGCUCGAAAGCAUGGGGAGCAAAA